UGGGGAAUAUUGGACAAUGGGCGAAAGCCUGAUCCAGCCAUGCCGCGUGUGUGAAGAAGGUCUUCGGAUUGUAAAGCACUUUAAGUUGGGAGGAAGGGCAGUAAGCGAAUACCUUGCUGUUUUGACGUUACCGACAGAAUAAGCACCGGCUAACUCUGUGCCAGCAGCCGCGGUAAUACAGAGGGUGCAAGCGUUAAUCGGAAUUACUGGGCGUAAAGCGCGCGUAGGUGGUUCGUUAAGUUGAAUGUGAAAGCCCCGGGCUCAACCUGGGAACUGCAUCCAAAACUGGCGAGAUAGAGUGGGGCAGAGGGUGGUGGAAUUUCCUGUGUAGCGGUGAAAUGCGUGGAUAUAGGAAGGAACACAAGUGGCGAGGGCGACCACCUGGGCUCAUACUGACACUGAGGUGCGAAAGCGUGGGGAGCAAACAGG
rnacentral:rRNA from 1 species